GAUGAACGCUGGCGGCGUGCCUAACACAUGCAAGUCGAACGGAGAUUACGGACGGAAGUUUUCGGAUGGAAGACUGUAAUUCUUAGUGGCGGACGGGUGAGUAACGCGUGGGCAACCUGCCCUAUACAGGGGGAUAGCAGCUGGAAACGGCUGGUAAGACCGCAUAAGUCGGCGAGACCGCAUGGUUUUGCCGGGAAAUGAGCAAUCAGGUAUAGGAUGGGCCCGCGUCCGAUUAGCCAGUUGGCAGGGUAAAAGCCUACCAAAGCAACGAUCGGUAGCCGGACUGAGAGGUCGGACGGCCACAUUGGGACUGGGACACGGCCCAAACUCCUACGGGAGGCAGCAGUGGGGGAUAUUGCACAAUGGAGGAAACUCUGAUGCAGCGACGCCGCGUGAGUGAAGAAGUAUUUCGGUAUGUAAAGCUCUAUCAGCAGGGAAGAUGAUGACGGUACCUGACGAAGAAGCCCCGGCUAACUACGUG
rnacentral:rRNA from 1 species